rnacentral:rRNA from 1 species
GAUGAACGCUGGCGGCGUGCCUAAUACAUGCAAGUCGAGCGAAUGGAUUAAGAGCUUGCUCUUAUGAAGUUAGCGGCGGACGGGUGAGUAACACGUGGGUAACCUGCCCAUAAGACUGGGAUAACUCCGGGAAACCGGGGCUAAUACCGGAUAACAUUUUGAACCGCAUGGUUCGAAAUAGAAAGGCGGCUUCGGCUGUCACUUAUGGAGGGACACGCGUCGCAUUAGCUAGUUGGUGAGGUAACGGCGCACCAAGGCAACGAUGCGGAGCCGACCUGAGAGGGUGAUCGGCCACACUGGGACGGAGACACGGCCCAGACUCCUCCGGGAGGCAGCAGUAGGGAAUCUUCCGCAAUGGACGAAAGUCUGACGGAGCAACGCCGCGUGAGUGAUGAAGGCUUUCGGGUCGUAAAACUCUGUUGUUAGGGAAGAACAAGUGCUAGUUGAAUAAGCUGGCACCUUGACGGUACCUAACCAGAAAGCCACGGCUAACUACGUGCCAGCAGCCGCAGUAA